rnacentral:rRNA from 4 species
CAAGUCUCCUGAAGGAACGUUGAAGACGACGACGUUGAUAGGCCGGGUGUGUAAGCGCAGCGAUGCGUUGAGCUAACCGGUACUAAUGAACCGUGAGGCUUAACCUUACAACGCCGAAG